GACUCUGGUUACGUACCCAGUAAUACACAUUCUCUGAGUCUGUCCAAUAGAUCACUCUGUCCUCCGUUAAUACGUUUAGGAUACUUGCGGCUAGACGGCUUGAAAGAACAGCUCCCAUUAGCUCUAGGCGGGAAAUUGUCAACACUUUCAAAGGUGACACACGGCUCUUUGACGCAAUGAGACGUGAAGUAGAGGGGUUGUUAGUGUACUGGCAAACCAAAU